UAGGUUCUUAUUCUAGGGUGGCCACA
rnacentral:piRNA from 1 species